UCUUUAAUAGCUUAAUUUUAUAAAGUAUAGUCCUGAAGAGACUAAGAUGAUAUUUAUCUUAAAGUA
rnacentral:tRNA from 1 species